UACGAAGGGGGCUAGCGUUGCUCGGAAUGACUGGGCGUAAAGGGCGCGUAGGCGGAUGGCACAGUCAGAUGUGAAAUUCCCGGGCUUAACCUGGGGGCUGCAUUUGAUACGUGUGAUCUAGAGUGAGGAAGAGGGUCGUGGAAUUCCCAGUGUAGAGGUGAAAUUCGUAGAUAUUGGGAAGAACACCGGUGGCGAAGGCGGCGACCUGGUCCGUUGACUGACGCUGAGGCGCGAAAGCGUGGGGAGCAACAGG
rnacentral:rRNA from 1 species